rnacentral:rRNA from 1 species
UACGUAGGGUGCAAGCGUUGUCCGGAAUCAUUGGGCGUAAAGCGCGCGUAGGCGGCCCGAUAAGUCCGCUGUAAAAGUCAACGGCUCAACUGUUGAAAGCCGGUCGAUACGGGCGGGCUAGAGUUCGGUAGGGGAGACUGGAAUUCCUGGUGUAGCGGUGAAAUGCGCAGAUAUCAGGAGGAACACCGGUGGCGAAGGCGGCGUUCUGGACUGUUUCUGACACUGAAUAACGAAAGCCAGGGGAGCAAACGGG